rnacentral:tRNA from 1 species
GCCUGGGUGGCUCAGCCGGUUAAGCAUCUGACUUCAGCUCAGGUCAUGAUCUCACAGAUUCGUGGGUUUGAACCCCACGUCGGGCU